rnacentral:rRNA from 1 species
AUUGAACGCUGGCGGCAGGCCUAACACAUGCAAGUCGAACGGUAGCACAGAGAGCUUGCUCUCGGGUGACGAGUGGCGGACGGGUGAGUAACGUCUGGGAAACUGCCCGAUGGAGGGGGAUAACUACUGGAAACGGUAGCUAAUACCGCAUAACGUCGCAAGACCAAAGGGGGGGACCUUCGGGCCUCACACCAUCGGAUGUGCCCAGAUGGGAUUAGCUAGUAGGUGGGGUAAUGGCUCACCUAGGCGACGAUCCCUAGCUGGUCUGAGAGGAUGACCAGCCACACUGGAACUGAGAAACGGUCCAGACUCCUACGGGAGGCAGCAGUGGGGAAUAUUGCACAAUGGGCGCAAGCCUGAUGCAGCCAUGCCGCGUGUAUGAAGAAGGCCUUCGGGUUGUAAAGUACUUUCAGCGGGGAGGAAGGCGGUGAAGUUAAUAGCUUCACCGAUUGACGUUACCCGCAGAAGAAGCACCGGCUAACUCCGUGCCAGCCGCCGCAGUAA